CCUACGGGAGGCAGCAGUGGGGAAUAUUGCACAAUGGGGGAAACCCUGAUGCAGCGACGCCGCGUGAGUGAAGAAGUAAUUCGGUAUGUAAAGCUCUAUCAGCAGGGAAGAAAAUGACGGUACCUGAGUAAGAAGCCCCGACUAACUCCGUGCAGGAAGCCGCGGUAAUACGAAGGGGGCAAGAGUUAUCCGGAUGUACUGGGUGUAAAGGGAGCGUAGACGGCAGUGCAAGUCUGGAGUGAAAGGGGGGGGCUCAACCCCCGGACUGCUGUGGAAACUGUACGGCUGGAGUGCAGGAGAGGUAAGUGGAAUUCCUGGUGUAGCGGUGAAAUGCGUAGAUAUUAGGAGGAACACCAGUGGCGAAGGCGGCUUACUGGACUGUAACUGACGUUGAGGCUCGAAAGCGUGGGGAGCAAACAGGAUUAGAUACCCCAGUAGUC
rnacentral:rRNA from 1 species